GAUGAACGCUGGCGGCGUGCCUAAUACAUGCCAGUCGAGCGAACGGACGAGAAGCUUGCUUCUCUGAUGUUAGCGGCGGACGGGUGAGUAACACGUGGAUAACCUACCUAUAAGACUGGGAUAACUUCGGGAAACCGGAGCUAAUACCGGAUAAUAUUUUGAACCGCAUGGUUCAAAAGUGAAAGACGGUCUUGCUGUCACUUAUAGAUGGAUCCGCGCUGCAUUAGCUAGUUGGUAAGGUAACGGCUUACCAAGGCAACGAUGCAUAGCCGACCUGAGAGGGUGAUCGGCCACACUGGAACUGAGACACGGUCCAGACUCCUACGGGAGGCAGCAGUAGGGAAUCUUCCGCAAUGGGCGAAAGCCUGACGGAGCAACGCCGCGUGAGUGAUGAAGGUCUUCGGAUCGUAAAACUCUGUUAUUAGGGAAGAACAUAUGUGUAAGUAACUGUGCACAUCUUGAUGGUACCUAAUCAGAAAGCCACGGCUAACUACGUG
rnacentral:rRNA from 1 species